GUAGGUGGCAAGCGUUGUCCGGUAUUAUUGGGCGUAAAGCGCGCGCAGGCGGUUCUUUAAGUCUGAUGUGAAAGCCCACGGCUCAACCGUGGAGGGUCAUUGGAAACUGGAGAACUUGAGUACAGGAGAGGAAAGCGGAAUUCCACGUGUAGCGGUGAAAUGCGUAGAGAUGUGGAGGAACACCAGUGGCGAAGGCGGCUUUCUGGUCUGUAACUGACGCUGAGGCGCGAAAGCGUGGGGAGCAAACAGGGAUUAGAUACCCUGGUAGUCCACGCCGUAAACGAUGAGUGCUAAGUGUUAGGGGGGUUUCCGCCCCCUUAGUGCUGCAGCUAACGCAUUAAGCACUCCGCCUGGGGAGUACGGCCGCAAGGCUG
rnacentral:rRNA from 1 species